UUAUCUGCCCAGUGAGAAAUUUAACGGCCGCAGUACCUUGACUGUGCAAAGGUAGCAUAAUCAUUUGACUUUUAAAUGGAGCCUAGUAUGAAUGAAAGAACGUAGAUAACUUGUCUUAUUAAUAUAAAUUUAAAAUUGCCAAAUGAGUGAAAAUGCUCAUGCUUUGAAUAAUAGACGAGAAGACCCUUAGAAUUUUAAAAAUAUAAUAGUCUGUCUGUUAAGAUUUUUUGUUGGGGCAACAAUAUUUCACAUAAUAAAUAUUUAUAAUAUGAAUAUAUCGAUUUAAUAAUUACAGUAAAAUUACCUAAGGGAUAACAGCAUAAUCUUAAUAAUAUGUUUGUGACCUCGAUGUUGGACUAGGUACUAUUAAGGCUAAUCGUUUUAA
rnacentral:rRNA from 1 species